AGACAUGCCACGUCUGCACUAAAAAUCAUCCAAUUAAAAGACUAUAUUUUGACAUGUCACACAGCUUUGUCGAUUGAAGAGAUUAAUUGGGCUGUUCCUUUGCUCUCCAAAAAUUAAAUCAUGGCCUAUAUCCAGCCCAUCUUCCAAAACUUCAUCUCCUAAUCAAUCAAUCUGACUAUUCAUUCGUCUUCACCGUUUCUUUUUUCCUGCAAUCACCGUUACUGUAAAUCACCUCAUCAUCAAUCAAUGUUGCUCUUUAAUCCCUUCUUGAUGGUUUCGUUCCAUCUCCCAUUGAUCCUCCUCUUACAUAAGUCGCUUCAUAUAAACAUAAAAAUCAAGCCAAAAUCGAAAACCUCCACUAACGAAACUACAGUUACGACCAUGAAAUCCACCAGAAAGUUUCCCUCUCCACCGGCAAGUCUCAUGUCGCCGAAGUUUCGCCAGGACCAGCCGAAUUUGAACUAAAUUUUGGUUAAUCCAUUUUUGGGAGGCAAAAAACAUUGCAAAAAUUGGCUUAGAGCUGCUAUGAUCAAGAUGGAUGUCGCUUCAGAGGGUACCAAUCUCACGACGAAGUUCUUGCAUCCUAAUGAUCGUUGUAUCUAGGAGAUCGAUGUUGAGUUGGAGGCUAAACAGAAGAAAUAUCUUCCCAGACAAAGACAUAAUUAAGAGUCAUUGAAUGAUGAAACUAAAGACUCUGCUUGCUUCACGAGAAAAUUUUACGUCAAAUCUGCAAAAGCUCCUGCUAGAAUCGGAAAGGGGAAGUUGUGGCUUCUGGAUCAACUAUUCAAGAAGCAUGUCUAUGGAGUGCGUGCUGGUGGUGAAAAGAUGUACAACGUGUUUCAUAACCAAUUUCUGGUAGCUCUGAAGAGACUUCAAGUUGACAAGCAGGAACUGGUUCACAAGUCUGCUAAUGAGACAGUUAUGGUUUCAACAUAUACAAGAAUUAAAGCAAUACCCAUUGGCCAUAUUCGCCUCAUAAAUGGGGACAACCUAGACACUCAGACACCCAUGACUUCAAAGACGCUAGGAGGUGUGUUCGUUUACUUGAAGAUACCAACUUUGUUUGCUUCCGUGAUAUUUUCAUCUAAAGCAUUGAGGACUGCUAACUUGCGCUGGGUCGAAACGCUUUUGUGGUUAUCUCAGAUCCGAUUGUUGCAAUGCAUGUCCUCCGAGAAAACAUUUCCUCAUCACAAGUGAAUUCUUACUGAGAUCUUAGAGCUGGUUAUGAGGAAAGUGUUGGUACCAGUAGACCUUAGUUACUUGGAAGUUAAGAAGCAGAGCUGAAACUCAUGAUUCCCUACAUUGUAUGAUUGUAUCUAGAAGCUAUGGUCAAAAUAUUUAGUGCCUGUUCAGAGGAAAUGAUACUGAAGUCUGAGAAACUCUUAAGAGAGAGAGAAGUCUCAAGCAGAGGGGACAUCAUCAAGUUGGAUCUUGAAGUAAAAUUCUAGAGUCCCUUCACAUCAUAGGGCUAAGGUUUUUGAUUUUUGAGUGUACUCUUCACCAAGUUUUUAUAGUAAGCUGAUCCAUUCUUAAAUUUUUCUAUUACAUCACAUGCAGUUUAUGAAAACUCUUUUUUUGAGGCAGAGCAUUCCUCUAAUUUCUACUUCAUGUAUUGUGAUAUGGAAGUUUUCUCCAGCCAUAUGAAUCGUUCCGAGGCAAAGGCGAAGGUCCAAAGCCAUCUGAAGAUUAUAAAUGAUAGCCUUGGUGUUCGGUCCUCACUUUGUAAUUUUCCCAAGCAGGAUAUAGAUAUUGAGAAAUUUCAGCAAAGGGACUACUCAAAUCUCAAAUUUGAAGUAAAUUAAUUUAUUUCCGCAUAGGUCAUCGACAAUUCUUAAAAUAAGACUUACUAGAAGAGCAUGUAACAUUUUUCUUUUUUUAGUUUCUCAUCUAAUAGUGUCAUUUUAUUGGCAUGUCUGCUAAAAUUAAUUUAUGGGUAUAAAUGUAUAUUACUUUUUUUUAGUGAAAUAAUUUGGUCAUUUUGAUAUU